rnacentral:rRNA from 1 species
GCUUGUCUCAAAGAUUAAGCCAUGCAUGUCUAAGUAUAAACAAAUCUAUACUGUGAAACUGCGAAUGGCUCAUUAUAUCAGUUAUAGUUUAUUUGAUGGUUCUUACUACUUGGAUAACCGUAGUAAUUCUAGAGCUAAUACAUGCAUCAAGCCCCGACUCACGAAGGGGUGUAUUUAUUAGAUGGAAACCAACUCGGGGUAACCCGGUAUAUGGUGAUUCAUAAUAACUUUCGGAUCGACCUUCGGGUCGAUGCAUCAUUCAAGUUUCUGCCCUAUCAGCUUUGGAUGGUAGGGUAUUGGCCUACCAUGGCUUUAACGGGUAACGGAGAAUUAGGGUUCGAUUCCGGAGAGGGAGCCUGAGAAAUGGCUACCACAUCCAAGGAAGGCAGCAGG